rnacentral:lncRNA from 1 species
CAAACUUUAUAUGCCCCAGUACAGGGGAACGCCAGGGCCAAGAAGAGGGAGUGGGUGGGUAGGGGAGCAGGGCUGGGGGAGGGUAUAGGGAACUUUAGGGAUAGCAUUGGAAAUGUAAAUAAAGAAAUUAUCUAAUAAAAAGAAAAGAAAAGAAAAGAAAAGAAAAGAAAAGAAAAGAAACAUAGCCUAUUUUGUUUAUGCUAAUUGGCUGUCCCAGGCCUCCCAGCCACCAGGGGGCAGUGUGAGAACCAGAAGUGGCUUUUUUAAAAAGGUGCUAACCUGCUCUGUUUAGCAUACCUCCCAGAGACUACUGAGCUUCCCAGUAGGGCCUCAUGUUAGUCUAUUAGGUCUGUUCUCUCCCCUCCUGCUCUGACUAUGUGGGGGAAGCCUACCUGCUUUCACCAGGGCUCUGUCUUGAAGUUGCCACAAAGCCACCUUGAGAUCUGUCUUAGUAACAUCAGCAAGAGGCCCAGGUAUCAAGUCACGAUCUCAAUUCCCAUUUGAUGCCAUGUUCUCUCCUAUGAGUUUCUAAAUAUACAUUCUCCCAUCCCCUUCAGAUAUGCUGAAGCUUCCGUGGCUGUGCAGGAUCCACUUGGCAUAACUUCUACCCUUGACUGUAGGACCAUCUGUGACUCAAAUCAACAUGAAUGGGAACCACCAGCCAGCUGAGCGAUGUUCUAGGGGAUUCAGUGUCGUCUUCUGG